rnacentral:tRNA from 1 species
GGAUUUGUAGUUAAAGUUAUAAUAGGGAUUUUGUAAAUCUCAGUUAAAUGAUGGUUUUGAGUCCA